rnacentral:rRNA from 1 species
GACGAACGCUGGCGGCGUGCUUAACACAUGCAAGUCGAACGGACAGGCCCUGCUUUUGUGGGGUGCUCGAGUGGCGCGCGGGUGAGUAACACGUGAGUAACAUGUCCUUGACUGUGGGAUAACUUCAGGAAAAUGGGGCUAAUACACGAUAGAAUCUACUGCUGCAUGGGGUGGGUUGGAAAGUUCCGGCGGUGGGGGAUGUACUGGCGGGUUACGAGCUGGUUGGUGGGGUUGUGGAUUACCAAGGUUUUGACGGGUAGGCGGCCUGGGAGGUGUACCGGCCACCAUGGUACUGAGGUACGGACCAGACUCCUACCGGAGGCAGCGGGGGAGAACAUUGCGCAAUGAGGCGAAGCCUGAUACAGCAACCCUGCGAGCGUGAUGCCCUCCUUCGGGUUGUAAACCACUUUCGCAUGAGACGAAGCGUGCGUGACGGUAAUGGGUCAAGAAGCACCGGCUAACUACGUG